GCAUGUGUGCAAGUCACUGGGAAACACUAAACCCAGAGGCGCAAUGAAAGUGGGGCGGCCUCGUGCCGCCAUGGGAGGAUGGCUCUCCUCGCGAGAGCCCGCACUCCCGGGGCGCCCCGGCUUCGGCCGUGGGCGCACUCUGAGCGUACACGUUGGGACCCGAAAGAUGGUGAACUAUGCCUGGUCAGGACGAAGUCAGGGGAAACCCUGAUGGAGGUCCGCAGCGAUUCUGACGUGCAAAUCGAUCGUCAGAGCUGGGUAUAGGGGCGAAAGACUAAUCGAACCAUCUAGUAGCUGGUUCCCUCCGAAGUUUCCCUCAGGAUAGCUGGCGCCCGCUUGGAACGAGGCGAGUCUCAUCCGGUAAAGCGAAUGAUUAGAGGCCUUGGGGCCGAAACGACCUCAACCUAUUCUCAAACUUUAAAUGGGUGAGAACUCCGGCUUGCUCGGGUGAAGCCGAGAGGCGGAUCAGGGUGCCAAGUGGGCCAUUUUUGGUAAGCAGAACUGGCGCUGUGGGAUGAACCAAACGCCGGGUUAAGGCGCCUAAACCGGAGCUCAUGGGAGACCAUGAAAGGCGUUGGUUGCUUAAGACAGCAGGACGGUGGCCAUGGAAGUCGGAAGCCGCUAAGGAGUGUGUAACAACUCACCUGCCGAAGCAACUAGCCCUGAAAAUGGAUGGCGCUAAAGCUCCGUGCCUAUACCCGGCCGCCGGAAGGCAUGGGCGCGAGCCGCUCUCGGGCGGCGAGCGCGUGAAGCCCCGGUGAGUAGGAGGGCGCGGCGGUGUGCGCGGAAGGGUCUGGGCGUGAGCCUGCCUGGAGCCGCCGCCGGUGCAGAUCUUGGUGGUAGUAGCAAAUACUCAAGCGAGGGCCUUGAGGGCUGAUGUGGAGAAGGGUUUCGUGUGAACAGCCGUUGCACACGAGUCAGUCGAUCCUAAGCCCUAGGAGAGAUCCGAUGUCGAUGUGGGGGGCUAUUCGUAGCUCCUCCUCGAUGGGCGAAAGGGAAUCCGGUUCCUAUUCCGGAACCCGGCAGCGGAACCGAAUCUACGGGCCCUCAUCAGAGAAGCUCGUCGGGGUAACCCAAAGGGACCCGGAGACGCCGUCGGGAGACCCGGGCAGAGUUUUCUGUUCUGCAUAAGCGUUCGAGUUCCCUGGAAUCCUCUAGCAGGGAGAUAGGGUUUGGAACGCGAAGAGCACCGCAGUUGCGGCGGUGUCCGGGUCGUCCCCUCGGACCUUGAAAAUCCGGGAGAGGGUCACGCGGAGGUGUCGCGCCGGCUCGUACCCAUAUCCGCAGCAGGUCUCCAAGGUGAAGAGCCU
rnacentral:rRNA from 1 species